GAGGGCACAGCUCAGUUGGUAGAGAGCUUGCUUCGCAUGCAGGAGGUCCUGGGUUCAAUCCCCUGUACCUCCA
rnacentral:tRNA from 1 species